UGGGGCGUCGCCAAGCGGUAAGGCACCGGUUUUUGGUACCGGCAUUCGCAGGUUCGAAUCCUGCCGCCCCAGCCA
rnacentral:tRNA from 22 species